CAGUUACCCCUUGCUGCACCCUUCUCGAUGGUCUCGUUGACCUUGAAGCUGCAGUGUGCCUUUGCACUGCCCUCAAAGCAAACAUUUUGGGCAUCAACCUCAACCUUCCAAUCUCCCUUAGCUUGCUUCUCAAUGUUUGCUCAAGGAAAGCUCCACGUGAUUUCCAAUGUGCCUAAUCAUGGCCCAUGAGCAAGUUGCUACGUGCUUAUUCCUAGUUGUGGUUUUCCGUUGUUUUUUUUUUUUUUUGAAAUUCCAUUUAUCAUGGUGUGAUUCUUGUUCGUGCAUCAGUGCAUGGAUGGGUAAAUUCUCGUUAUAUUCUGCCGCUUUAUUGAUUGUUUUAUCAGGCAAAGUGUCACAUUAAAUAAAUUCCCAAUGCUUAAUUUCUUAUGUAAAGCAAAAGGAAUAAAAAAAUGAUAGUGUUAUUUAUAUGGCAGAUAAAUGGUUAAUGUUGCAAAUACAUUUUAAUAUUUAUUGAUGCCAUUUUGUUUUGUCUUUUCGGUGAAUGAGAGCAUCAGCUGAUCAGCAAAAUUACAUUGCUUUCUAACUUGUGUCCAAUGCGCAACUAGAGGAAAACUAAUUCAAGAAAAGAAUAAAAAUGAAAGUAAGCAUGCACAACACUGAGCCCGUGACGAUUGUACAAAGCACUCCACGUGCAUGCACUAUUAUUUCAUUUAAAAAAAAAGCUCAGAAUAAUUAGCUAUUUAAACCAAGAUACAUAUUAAAUUCUAUGGUACCACAGUAACACUUUUAGAGGUUUUGGAAAAUUUCAUAUUUGGACCAAUAGUUAUUAAGUUACUUAGUCAUCAAUUUACUAUAUGUGGUAAUGAAAUUGUUAUAUAUAUAUAUAUAUAUAUAUAUAUAUAUAUAUAUAUAUAUAUAUAUAUAAUUUAGUCCCUAAUUAAUUCAAAUAUUUUUUCUUUUAAAAUUAUUAUUUUUAAUUAUUUUAAUUAAAUAGAUAGAUCUGAUCAUUGACUCUGUAAAUCUUGAAGUUUUGGCAUUCAUGUGUCCUUCGACCUUAAAGAAGUGGAAAAAUAUCCAUGUUAAAUCUACUAUGGGGAAGGUUAAUUAAAAUUCAAUCCACAAUUGGUGACUCUAUCACUUACAAUGCUCUACCUUAUUCCAUGUUCCAAAAGAGCAUGUAAAAAAUCAUAUUUCCUCCAAUCUUAGUUAUAAGCAAAAAAGACAUUUUAUAUUUAUUAAAAAAAUUAACAAACUUUAUUAAAUUGUAUCAUUAAUUCCUAAUUAAAAAAUAAAUAUUUUUUCUAAACUAUUGGACUUUAUAUCAAAUAUAUAAAAAAAAUAAUCUUAUUAAAUGAAUAUAUUUUAGAGAGAAUCUUAUUAAAUAAGACAUAAAUAAUUCAAAUUUAAUAUUCUAAAUCCAAUGAAAUACUAAUUACUGUUCUUUACAAGCCUUCUGAAGUCCUUAGCUUGGUUCCUAAUCUAGAUCAGUCCCCCAGUUCAAGUGUAUGGAGAGGCCUAUGUCUUCCUCCUAACCCUCCUAUAUACUUUAGCCUUUAGAAGGGAUGUUCUGAUUAAUCGGGAUAUUCAUCGGUUGGUGUGAGUUGCGAUUGCAUCAAAAUCCCGUAGAUUGUGGGCUCUUACACAUCGAUGUAGGCCAAGUGUAGGUCUUUCUAUUGUGAGUGAUUUACCUCGGGACGAAUGAGGUGUGGCCCAAUGCGUAGUACUUCAAGCCACGAGUGGAGUAUAUAUGCACGAAGUGGCUUUGGUACACAACCCCUUAAGCCACAAGUGGAGUAUGCACAAAGUGGGUUUGUAGAGUUCGGGUUGACCGAGGUGUGGCACAAUACACAAUCCCUCAAGUCACAAGCUAGAGUGAAGUAUGCACUAAGUGAGUUUGCAGAGUACUAUCAAGAUUGAAAACUUGAAGGUACUUGAAACACACAUUGAAUUCUUAACAAAGUCAACGAUUAUAAAUCUUGCAAGAACACUCAUUGAAUUCUUUUGUAAAGAUAUAAAUGAAUGAAACACAAGUAAAAGUGUCAAAAAUAUCCCUGCUUAAUAUAAUAUAGAAACAAAAAAAAAAGACUAAUAAUACAUGAACCACGCCUAUUAUUACUACAAGAUUUUUUUUAAUGUUACACCCUAUAUUAACACCCAUCUUUUUCUCUAUCCCUCUCUUCUUCUCAUAUCAAAAUAUCUAUGAUACCUAUUAUCCCCCCCUCUCUUCUUCUCAUAUCAAAAUAUCUAUGAUACCUAUUUUACCAGAAAAAUACUUAUAUUUUUUUUAUAUUCAUGAAAUAAUCAAGNNNNNNNNNNNNNNNNNNNNNNNNNNNNNNNNNNNNNNNNNNNNNNNNNNNNNNNNNNNNNNNNNNNNNNNNNNNNNNNNNNNNNNNNNNNNNNNNNNNNAUAUAUAUAUAUAUAUAUAUAUAUAUAUAUAUAUAUAUAUAUAUAUAUAUAUAUAUAUAUAUAUAUAUAUAUAUAUAUAUAUAUAUAUAUAUAUAUAUAUAUAUAUAUAUAUAUAUAUAUAUAUAUAUAUAUAUAUAUAUAUAUAUUUACAUAAUACACGAACUACUUGCUAAUGAUUAUAUAGACUCCAAUCCCAAUCCCUCAGGUGGCUUCUGCCCUGGCGAUGCACUCAAACUAGGCAUAGGUGCCAAUGUGCUAAAUGGGCUGCUCAACGUGACUUUGUGUCAACCACCGGUUAUAUCUUCUUCUUCCCUCCUCAACGGUCUCAUUGACCUUGAGGCUGCACUGUCCUUAGAGCAAAUAUUUUGGGCAUCAACCUCAACCUUUCCAUCUCACGCAGCUCACUUCUCAAUGCUUGCUCAAGGCAAGUCCCAUGUGAUUUCCAUUGUGCCUAAUUACCCAACAUAUCAUAUAUAUCAUCGUACCUACUUUUGCUUUGUGUUUUCCAGUUGUGACUUUCCUUUCUUUUUUUUUUUUCAAAUUCCAUGUGUGGUUCUUGUACGUGCAUGGAGGGUUAGCUUCUCGUUAUUCCUUCCUUUCAGUGUUUUUGUAGUUAUCUGGUAAGAGUGACGCGAUAUAUAUUAUAUAUAGAAGCUCUCGAUGGUUGCUUGUGUAAAUCGCAAUGUACAAAAGUUGAUGAACUAGUCUGUUAUUUAUAAAAAGAAAACCAAACACAAGCGCUUGCAAAUGACCUCGUUAUUAAUGCUUCUAUUAUAUAUAUAUAUAUAUAAAGAGAUCAAAUAUCAAUAUAGUUUUGACCAACUAUUAUCUCAUUUAAUAACUUUCAAUUAAUUAAUAUUUUUGUUAAAACUCGUUAUUUGAUUAAAAAUUCAUUUCACAUGAAUUAAAUAUAUAAAAUUUUAUAUUAAUAUAAAAUUAUUUGUUAUCUUAUUAUUCAUAUAAACUAAAAUUGAUGUAAUAAAAAAAAUUAAAAUAUAUUAAAUUAUAAAUCAUUUGAUUAUUUUUUUAUUAUUGUUUAAUUUUAAUAAAAUUUAACACAUAUAAUAUAUAUUGAUAAUAUGUAAAUAUAAUUUAAUGAUCAAAUAAGUAAAAUUCACAAUUUUUUAUCAAAUUAUAGAAUAAUAAAAUAUUAAAUUAUAUUAAUAUAAUUUCAUCUAAUACAUAUUAAUUGUAUUUCAUGUGUAAAGAAUUUAGUAUUUUUUUAAUUGCAAUUAGUCUUGUAUAGUUUAAUGAUAUUUUUACCAGUGACUUGGUUUUCAUAUUGUUUUCCGUUAAGGCAUUAAUGGUCAUUUUCAUAAACAUUGGAUUUGGUAAAAGUCGAAAGGAUAAGACGAUUUUGCCAUAUGCUUAACUUGGCACUCUAUGGCUUGGCCUUUAUGGCUAAUAAGUAACACAUUUGUUUUUAAAAAUGUAUCAUUUGGCUUGAUCUCUUUGUUGGAUUUGAUUGAAUACUAAUCUUGGUCGUGGCAUAUAAGAAUAUGAUUUGUCCACCACUCGUAUAAUGACAUACAAACUAGCCUAGUUUUAAGCCACAACUUCUAACUUUGCAUCAUAUUCGGUUUCUAUGUAACCAAAUACACCAUAUGAUGCAAAGCCACAAAAUCUUCCAGCACUCUAUGCAUUUCUUUCCAUUUGCCAAUCCUAAAUUCGAUAUAAAAAAAUGUUGUAUUCCAUUAUUUGGUAGAACCGUAUUCACAUCUAACUACUGGUACCAAGUAGUCUCUUUUGAAAUGGGGAGAUUAUUAAAGUUAAACUCUUUUAGAAUGGAAAUAAAAGUCUAAUUAUGUUUAAAAAGUUUUAGAGUUUAAUAUUUUUUCAUAUAUAUUUUCUUAAUGAAAAUUAUUACACUGUUAAUUUGUUAUAAUUUUUAAAAUAAUUAUUACAUUAGAUAUAAUUUUUAAAAUAAUUAUUGUAAAUUAAAGCUAACAAUUUUACUGUACACAAAAAUUUAUAAUUGUGUGAUAAAACAAAUAUAAGUAUAUUUUUAAAGCAAAAUAUAAGUAUAUUCUAAUUAAAUACUAUUAACAUUUGCUAAGGCUAAUAAUUUGAAAACUUUGCAUAAUAUUUUGUUUUUGUUUUUGACAAUCGUGUAAUAUAAAAUUGGUUAAUGUGACUUCACGCCCCACCCCCAAAUUAUGAAGAUUUCACGAGCCAAAAACGCGUGGAAAACUUAGAUUUGAUUUUGAUAUUAAUUGGACAUCACAGAUUAAGUCAAUAAUUGCGGACUUGUUCACAAAGGAAUGUCUAAACGAAACUCUUUUUAAAAUGAAAAAAAACGUAGUACAACGUUCUUCAUUGGCUUAUGGGCCUUUGCUUGUUAGGCUUCUAGCUAUUAUAAGCUCCUAGUUGCAUGCUUCCUGUCGAAAAUUGAUCAUAUUUACAUAAUUGUUUUUUUUUUAACUUAAUACUUUCGUCGUGCAGUGACGACUGAUCCACGUAUCAACGAGAGGAUGCACUUCCAACCCUUCGCUUUUUUGGAAAACACACACACACAUAUAUUUUUUAAAAUAUGUAUAUUUUAUCUUCUUAAUUUUAUAUAUUUGAAUCAUCUAUCCUUAAUUUUAUUAGUAUUUUCAUAAAAUAUUUUAAACAUAAAUUUAAAUAAUAUAAGUACAUACACACUAAUUUACCCUUUGUUCCUUUUUCAAUCCUUAAAAUUUUAAGGCGCAAAUGAAUAAAACAACAAAAAGAUAAGAUAUGUAUUGAAAUUAUACAUAUGGUUCCACCUUAUUUCUGGUUACGGUACCCAGUUUAAUUACAUAAUAUAUUGCUUAUCAUGAAAGAAACGGGAAAAAGGAAACAACUAACAAAAACCAAAUUAUAUAUAUAUAUAUAUAUAUAUAUAUAUAUAUAUAUAUAUAUAUAUAUAUAUAUAUAUAUAUAUAUAUAUAUAUAUAUAUAUGAAAUAUAUAUAUAUAUACACAUAUAUGAAACCAUCAAAUCACAUAGAUUAUAGUUGAAAAUAUCAUUUUUAAUCAAUAGGAAAGGUAAAAGUCUCACUAUUUACGGGAAAUAAAAGAAUUAACUACGACGAAAUUGAUAUUUUUUUUCAAAUUACCUUUCUAAGCCUUUUCAAUCGGUAAAAUAUUUUCUUUAAUUUAUUACACGUAUUUUUUUUUUUACUUUGAGAAAAAAUAAUUUUUUUGGUUUUAUAUUAUUUUGAAAUACUUUUCAUUAAAUAAACAUAUAUAUAACCAAAAAAUAUUAAAAAAUAAUAACUAUUGAGGUAAAUUUAUUAUAAAUUUAACUAACCUAAAUAACUAAUAAUCAUUAUUCACUUCUUAUUUUUGAACAAAAUAUCUACUAUUUACUAUUUAUAGUUUAAUUAUAAGAAUAUAACUUAUAAACACUGUACCUUAAAGUAUUUUUUAUAUUAAUUUUUAAUCAAGGUUUUAUUUUGAUAACCAACUCCAACUUAAUUAAUUAUAACUUAUAUUACGUGGAUUAUGGAAAUAAAAUUUAACUAUUAAUCAUUGCCUUCAUUUUAAAAUAAGUGUCACAUUUAAUUAUUUAAUGUAACAUUAAUUGUUUUUUUUUAUUAUUUCUAAUAAAUAUCACUUUAAUUUUUUAGUCUAAUAUUAAUAUUAUUUUUUAUCUAUUUAAUAAUAUUAUACUCUAUUUUAUUUAUUAAUUAACUUUUUUAUAUGUAUAAAAUAUUAUACAACCACACUUAUUUUCGGACUAGGGAGUAAAAAAAACAUUUAAGAAACAAGAUAGUAAGUUUUCUUCAAAUUCAUAAUUAAUAGCUAUCAGCCAAUUAGCUAGUGGUAGUGUGAGGAUAAGAUUGAAAAUGUAAUAAUAGCUAUUAGCCUAUUAGCUAGCGGUAAUGUGGGGAUCUGAUAGGCUGUCGGGAUACACACUUUUUUUUUAGAAGUUAUUCAAAUUUAAAAGAAGAUAGUUUUUUUUUAAAGACGUAUACGAGAAUAAAUUCUAAUUUUUACUAAUAAUUAUAAUUUAUUAGUUAAAUUCAAUGUUUAUAUAUACAAUUUUAAAAUAAUUUUUUUACUAUUAACGAGCUAAAACUAUUUUUCAUAUGACUUUUAAAAUAGUUAUUACAACAAUUUUAUCACAAAUAACAUUAUACAUCAAUAACUAAUAAGUGGUAAUGUUACAAAUUCCUGAAUAAGAUGACCCGGCCGGCCCGGAAAAAAACAAAAUUAGUCGAGAUUUUUAACAAGAUAUUUUUAUCAUCGAAAGUUAUAUACUAUCUUUUAAAGAAGUAGAAUAUGAAUUAAAGAAAAGCUUUUUUUGACACAUGUAUUAUUCUAUUCGCAUAGCUAAGGAUUGAAACACUAAUAUAUGUUUAAAGAGCUCAAAUUAUUUGCUACUUGUGUAAUAUCUUGUAGGGGUUGGAAAUUUUUUUAUUUGAAUCAUAUGUAUAAAAAAGUGCAUUUCAAUUUGAUGUCAACCAACACGUACUUUGUUCGAAACAGGCUGCAGGAAGAAUAGUCAUCAUCCUCAAAUUUUAGCUAUUUUAUUUAUUAAAAGUUUAAAUACAACCAAAUUAAUCACAUCUCGGAAGGAACUGUAAGGGAGAGUGUGUACUGUGCAGUCAAUUUCCAACCACAAUAAGCAAUACUUAUAAUAGGACCCAGUGACCCAUUAUUUCACAUGCAGAACCUUAUGUACUCUCAGAUCCACCGAUUGAUGGCGGUUCCUGCAUGCAUCACAAGUCACAAGCAUAUAAUACCUAAUUUAAGGUUUUUCCCCGCCAGCUAAAAUUCUCAUGUUCACUCAUGGUCAUUUCAUUAACAUACUAUUUAUUUAUUUUUUUGUAAAAAAAUUCAAGUGUUGAAUAUUAAUUUUGAGGUACUGAAUAUAUAAGUUUUAAUUAAAAAAAAUUAUGUUUUGGUUUGGGUAAUUGGCUCGAUUCAGUUUCGGUUGAUCUAGCAUGAUAUUAUUCCAUUUGGAUAUCUCGGAUAGUAACCCAAAUUUUAUGUUUGGUGAGACUUAUAAGCUAUUGUCUUUUUUUUUUCUUCUCAAUUUUAUGCUUAUUUUUUAUUUAAAAUUUAGUUUUAUCUUUUUAUUCAAUUUAAAAACUUUCUUAUUUUCUUUAUUGUCCGGACAAAUUCUCGUAUUUAAUUUAAUGUUCUUACAUGCUUACAACAAACAUAAUAAUCAAUCCCUCAAUUGUCAUUGUUACAUCAUUCUUUAAUAUUAGAUUUUUUUAAAAUUAUUUCAAUUUUAUAAUUAUUUACUAUUUUUUUUAUUUUAUAAUUACCUAUUUUGAUCCUUUGCAUUAUUUUUUAUUUUAUUGAUUUAAUUUGUUAAGGCAAAAAUAUAUCCUACUUUUCAAGAUGAUUAAUUAUUAAAAAUAAAAUUCAAAUAUUAAAAAUAUUAAUAUAUUAUUUGAUAUUUAUUAGAUAAUUUUAUUAAAUACUUUCUUAAUUAGCUAGCUUAUAAACUUAUAACUUUAUAGCUUAUAAACUUCCAACCAAUUUAUAAGUCAAUUUUUACGAGACAUAGCUAAAUUGAUCCAAACUGAAAAAAAAAAAAAACACACUAGUUUGGGUUGCUAGUAAAAUAAAAUAAAAUAAGACAACUGAAGCUAUCUAACUCAGUACUUAAUAAUUGAAUUGUCGAUUAAUUUAAGUUUGUAUAUUUUACCUAUAUACGUACAUAAUACACCAACUACUUGCUAAUAUUUUAAUAGAGUCGUCAUCAUAUUCUCAUUGACACUUCCAAACACCAUGAGCACUAUAUAAACCCCCCAUCCACACCAAAUUACUCCCAUCUUCACUUACACUCUUCUUUUAAGCUCUAGCAGUUAACUAACAAUAUUAGCAUUUGCUAGUGAUUAGGAAUAUAAAGAUACGCCAACCACAAACAGUUUAAGAUGGCCUCCAAAACAUGUUCAUCCCUUGCUCUUUUCCUCACACUCAACCUCCUCUUCUUUUCACUUGUCUCUGCAUGCGGUAGUUAUUCAUGCCCUAGUCCAAAGCCAAAGCCAAAGCCCAAGCCAAAGCCCAACCCUAACCCUAGUCCUUCUGGUGCAUCGUGCCCCCGUGACGCACUCAAGCUAGGUGUAUGUGCCAACGUGCUAAAAGGGUUGUUGAACGUGACUUUGGGUCAACCACCAGUUACCCCUUGCUGCACCCUUCUCGAUGGGCUCGUUGACCUUGAGGCUGCAGUGUGCCUUUGCACUGCCCUCAAAGCAAAUGUUUUGGGCAUCAACCUCAACCUUCCUAUCUCACUCAGCUUGCUUCUCAAUGUUUGCUCAAGGCAAGUCCCACGCGAUUUUCAAUGUGCCUAAUCAUGGCCUAUACACAACAUAUCAUAUAUAUCUAACGUGUUUGGAAACUCGUUGAGGAUGGAGAAAUCACGUCUGAGAUAUGAAAAGCUAUAACUAUUUGCUUUUCCACAUCUAAAAUGUGAAAAAUUACGUCUGAAACGUGAAAUCAAACACGUUAAUUAAUCAUCCUAUCUACGUACUUUUGCUUCGUGUUUGGUAUAGUUGUGACUUUCCUUUAUAUUGAUCAGUGUGUGAAUCUUGUACGUGCAUGGAGGGUUAACUUCUCCUUAUUCCUUCCUUUUAGUGUUUUCUAAAUAUUGUAUGGUUAGAGUGUUGCAAUAAAUUAAUAAAUAAGUUCCUGAUGCAUGCUUAUGUAAAUCGCAAGGGAACCAAAGAUAAUGAACUGGUGUGUUAUUUAUAUUUGAUUGAGAAAUGGUCAUUAUAUCACAAAUAAUCGUUUGGAAAAAUAAAUAUGUUGGGUACGUUUAUGAGUGGGGGGUCACUGAUGUAAUAGGAGCAGAUUAUGUAUGCAGGGACUGAACAAAUUAUCUUGCUUGAUAUAUGCUGUGGGGUUUUAUGUGCUGCGUCAAUAGUUUAGGAGCAGGAGCAGAUUAUGAUUGCUGCAUACAUAAUAUGCAGGAGCAGAUUAUAUGUAUGUUGUGGGAUUUUGCAGUGUAGUGGUUUAUAUAUGAUGUAAAAGGGUUUGGUUCCCUUAUAUUAUACCCUCUAUUAUAUAAAUCUUAUUUGGCUUAUAUAAAAAGAAUAAUCCUUCUUAAUUUAUUUCGUUCUGCCUUUUCCUUUUGUCUUUUUUGGUGAACGAAAUCACCAACUAAUCAAUUAAGUAAAUUAUUCGGCAUACUACUAAUUAAAGUGUAUCAAUUGAACUUUCAUAUCUUGCUCGGUAACAAACAAAAUUGGGAAGUUAUGAGUUGGUUUUUCAGGGCUAUUGCUUAAUAAUAUCUCUGCUAAUUAUAUCCAAUUUAGUUCUUUACUAAGGAGGAAAUAGCUGCAUACGAUUCGCUACCUUUUUUUACCAUGCAGGGUAUGAUCUAUUUAAAUCAUGCAUAAUGAAAUUGUAUUUCAAGGUGUAUCUUUCGACUUAUCUAGUAGUGUUUUAGAUUUUUAUAAAGAUUAGAUCGAGGACAUUCAGCAAUAAAUUAAGUAUAAUAUUCUUUUAUCUAAUUUGUUUACAUCUUGUAGCCUGUUAGAGCACUCUGUCUCUUAAUAAAUUGUUUUUCCUGUAAAAGAAUAAAGUAUUUAAUUGUUGAAAAUGUAUAUUACGGGAAGACAUAUUACUAAUCAAGUAUUUGUUGAAAAAGUUGGGAACACAAGAGUCCAUCAUAUUAUUAUUAAAUUGUUGAACCAUUUCCCCUAAAUCUAAGAGAUCAAUAUUGGAAGAAAAAAUCAUAGACAUUCAAAUUACUUUUCCUGGAUAUAGUGACAAUAUAAUAAAUUAUACAAACAAAUGAUAUACUUUUGAAUCACCAUAAUGUUCGUGCAAAUUAUUCAUUUAUUUUAUUAAUUACACAUAAUAAUCUUUAUUUUCAAUUACAAAAUUUCAACUUAAAACUUUAAGAAAUUUAAAUCCAAUUUCACUCAAACCAAAAUCACAUAUGUUAGCCAAACAUAUGAUUAGUUAUUGUAUACUUUAUUUUAUAUAUUAAAAAAAUCCAUGUACAUUUAUAAUAUUUAUAUGGCUAAAAUAUUGUUCUAAUCGCUUAUUUAUUUAUUUAUUUAAUUGGUGUAAUUUGAUUUCUUUAUUGAUAAAGACUUCAAUUUAGUUAAUUUUCAAAAUCAUGUCUAUGUUGUAAUUUUCAUCUAGUUGAUAAAAAUGUAGAACCAACAAAAUGGGUAAGAACUCACUAGUUUGAGCCGGGUUGGGUUGAUUUUUUAUGCCCAUUUCAAUUAUUAUGCAUAAAUAUGGCCCACCCAACCCGUAUUCAGGUUGACUAAUAAAAAAAACAUGUAUGUUGAUGCUAUUAAAAAAAUAACCCACUCCUUACUUGUCACGCAAAUGAAAUAGCACAACAAUUAUAAUUAGGUUUGUCCUUUUUUUUUCUCACUCUUUUUUCUUGAUUUAGUUAUUCUUCUUGCUUUCCUUUUUACAACAAUCAACAUAGAAUAAAAAUUAUAGGAAGUUUUUUUUAAAAAAAAUCAUUUCGUCCUUUUAAUUUUAGGUGGAUCAAACUAUUUAAUCUAUCAACUGGUGGUUACCUAAACUAAUUUAACUAACUUUUUAAAGACUCAGCAAAAAGUGAGUCAAGAUAGGCUAGUCCACUUUUUGAGCAACACGAGAUGAACUGACUUUGUCCACUUUGACAAUUGUAUUGGUGUUAACAAAAACAGACAUGUGCCACUUUCACAGGUUCAAGCCACUGACGUUAUUAUAGUCAUAUAUGCAAUUUUGAAAACUAAGGGUAAUUAUUUUUUUUAUAAUAAAAUGGCCAAAUUGGAUAAAUAAAAUAAAAAUAGAGACAAAAGAGUAUUUCAGUCUAUUUAUAUUAAAUAGUUAAUUUUCGUAAGAAAAAAAAUACAUACAGAGAGUAACAGACUAAUUCAAAACUUAUUUAUUAGAGUUUUAUUUUUGUUUAAUGAAGUGAUUUAAUAAUCAUUAUUUGAUUCUGAUUUUUUAAUAAAAUAUAUUAAUUAUUUAUUUAUUUAUACCUUAUGUUAAAAAAAUUAAGUAUUUAUACUUUAAUUCAAAGAAUAAAACUUAUAAUACAUCAUCUAUUUUUUUGGUAUUGUUUUUUAUAUAAGGUUAUAUUUUAAUGACCAACUCCUUGUUUUUAUUUUAACUUAUAAAGUAUUACUAGAUUAUCAAAAUAAUUUUCUAAUUUUAAUUUUAAAAACGUUUAAGAAGCAAAUUAGUUUUCUUCAAAUUAAUAAAUUAAUCGUUGCUAUCAGCCAAAUAGCUAGUGGUAACGUAAGGAUCUGAUUAAAAAUCUAAUAAACUUAUAAUAGCUGUUAGCCUAUUAGCCAAAUAGCUAGUGGUAAUGUAAGGAUUGGGUAAGCUGUCGGGAUAUACAUCAUCAUCUCUGUUUUGUUUUGUUUUUUUUUUUUUUUUUUUUUCCAAAAUUAUAUUUUAAUCUCCUUAGUUGUCUCUAAUUUUGAUUUUAGUAUCUUUUAAAAUUAUUGAUGCAUAUAGUAAUGCAUUUAGUCCUUCAAGUUCAACCCCGUAAACAUGAUCCUAAUUUAGACGUUGACUGUUAUAAAAAAAUGUUGACAGUCACGUGUUACAUUCUGAUUGGACGAUAAUUGACACGUGUCACAUUUUGAUUGAAUAUUGACAACAACAAUACAUUUUUCAUCAUUCAUAAAGUCAACAUUUAAUUAGAACGUGACACAUGAUAAUUUACGGGAUUGAAUAUAAUUAAAGGACUAAAUGCAUCAAUAAUUUUAGGAUCGGAGGAUAGAAGUUCCAAAUUUAAACCAAAAUGGAUUUUCAAUCAUGUAGAGGUAUACGAGAAUAAAUGAUAGUAAAGGUAUAUAAAUUGAAAAUUAAUAAUUAAUUAUACUGAUUAUAUAUACAUAUAUAAUAAAUCAUAAAAUUUAUCAAUUUAAUUAAUUUUUAUCAAUAAUUAUACUUUUAUUUAAAUUUAUUUUUUUAUAUAAUGUCAAUGCAAUUUAUUUACUAUUAACUAUUUAAAAAAUAUUCUACAUAAUUAUUAUAAAAAUUAACGACCUCAUCAUUCAAAACUUAAUGCAUUACAAUUAAAUUCUUCCUACUUUGUUGUUUAAAAUUUUAAAUCCAACAUAAUUACUUUUUUUCCUGAUAAUCCAACCAAAUUACUAUUCACUCCAAUCUUAAAUAUAAAUAAAAAUACCUCAUAUAAUUAUUUCAAAUAUAAAUAAAUUUUAACUAAUUUUAAAAAAACAUUCUCCAAAACAUUUUUAUUUUAUUUCAAUAACCUCUUUAAUUCUCGUUAUAUCAAUUGCAUGACUUUUAAAAAUAAAAAAUAUUUUCAAUUAAAAAAAAUUCUAUUAAAAUAAUGUUUUUUAACAAUUAGCGUGAAGAGUAGUUUGAAUAAUGAUUUUUUUUAACAAGAUACAGAAAAUUAAAUUAAAUUUACUAAAUUAUUAUAAAACAAUCACCGUGGUAUUCAUGCAAGUGAAACUUAUCUCAAAUUUCUUUAGUAAAAUUUGAAAUUUAAAUUAAACUUUGUAGAUGAAAGAAAAAAAAAUAAGAUGAGAGAUUCUAUAUAGGAAAAGUGAGUCACUCAUAUUUCUUAACAAAAGAUUAAUAAUUAUUAGCAAAAUAAAUAUAUAUUUCUCACUAAAAUUAUCUUGUAGUAAAAAUUACCAUGAAUUUUUUUAACACAAAAUUUAAAAAAAUAUCUAAAAAAGAUUUAUACGUUUGUAUAAGUGACUUAUCUCUUUUAAUUAUAAGUGAUAUAGAAUUUAAACUAUGAUUGUUAAUUUAAUAUAAAAUAAAUCAUAUUAAAACAGAAGUAUUAAUCUCAAACAGCUUUCAAUAGAAAUUAUUUACUACUCACACUAUAAUAAAAAAAUAAAAAAAUCUGGCAAGGGUUUGUACUUUGUAGAGAAGUUGUGGUGAAUUUACAGCCACAAUUAGUGAUACUUAUAUGGGACCCGCUAUUCCACAUGCAAAAGUUAGUAAUUGCAUAAUUCUGGGGACUCCAAGGAUCUUAGAUCUUACGGUCAUGGAAUCAAGUUGCCCAACGGGUGCAUAACUUUGCUCCCCAGAUCCACCGAUUGAUGCCAGUCCCUACAUCAACAAGUCACGAGCAUUAAAAACCUAAUUUAAGGACUUAAUUUUCCUGCCAGCUACAAAUUCUCAGGUUCACGUUCCAUUAAUUUAAUAUUUUUUUAUUUAUUAUGAAAUAUAUUCAAGUGUUUAAUUUUUUAUUGUCAAAAAUCAAAUACUGUAUUUUAAGUUGUUACGGAGUUAUUCUUAAUCAAAAUUAGCAUUUAUCUAUAUAAUUAUUCUUAAUUUUAGUUAUAAAAAAUACUGAUUAUUAAAAUAAAAUUUUCAUUUUGAUUGAAAAAUUACUCCAACCAUUUUUAUAAUAUAUACAAUAUCUAGGUUUAAUUUAUUUUUAAGAGAAAAAUACUCUCAUACAUAUAUACAUUCAUAUGUUCCUUUUAUAGGCAAUAAUAAUAGUACUUAUUUAUAUUUUUCAUUAUUAAUAAAACUAAUCUAUCAUUGAUUAAAUCAAUUUUUUAAAUGUCUUUUAAUUUAAGUUUUACAUUUUACCUAUAUCGUACAUAUAUAAUACACAAACUACUUGCUAAUUUUUUAAUUGACUCCUCAUCAUAACCCCCUUCCACCUUCAAAACAUCAUGAGCACUAUAUAAACCACAAUCCACAUCCUCACAAACACUCUUCUCAUAAGCUCUAGCACUUAACUAGUAAUAUUUAUUAGAAUUUGCUAGAGAAUUAGAAGAAUAAACAUAAUACCCCAGAUGGCUUCAAAAACUUGUUCCUCCCUUGCCCUUUUCCUCACACUCAACCUCGUUUUCUUCUCACUUGUCUCUGCAUGCGGUUAUACACCAUGCCCUGGUCCAAACCCAAAGCCAAGGCCCAACCCCAACCCUAACCCUAACCCCAGCCCAAGUGGCUCGUGCCCCCGUGACGCACUCAAACUAGGUGUAUGCGCCAAUGUGCUAAACUUGGUGAACGCCACUUUGGGUCAACCACCAGUUACCCCUUGUUGCUCCCUUCUCGAUGGUCUCGUUGACCUUGAGGCUGCAGUGUGCCUUUGCACUGCUCUCAAAGCAAACAUUUUGGGCAUCAACCUCAACCUUCCGAUCUCACUCAGCUUGCUUCUCAAUGUUUGCUCAAGGAAAGCCCCACGUGAUUUCCAAUGUGCCUACUAAGCUUAUACUAUAAGUAUAACAUAUCAUCUUAAAUCUUCUUUUGCUUCGGGUUUGCUCUAGUUGUGGCUUUCCAUU
rnacentral:lncRNA from 1 species